rnacentral:lncRNA from 1 species
GUGAUUUGCUGCAGAGAGGGGACACAAAACUCAGGGCCCCGAGCAAUUGGUGGGAAACUAGAUCUCAAAGCAGAAAAUGAAAAGUCGAUCUGGGGGAAGAUUUUUAAAUAAGUGGGUCAGAGGGACGGAGAGGAGAUGAGGCGAUCAAUCUUAGCCCCCUGACAGCUCCCUCCGAGGGCAUCAAAGAAUUCGGCUCUUUGGGAAAGCAGAGGGAACAGCCGAAAUUCCACAUCCCUUUAAAAGGCCUGGGGGUGGGGGUGAUAGCAAAAGAGAAAGGUGAUUCCGGGAGAGUGGGGAAACAGAUGGGAAAUGGGGACAGAGGGAAGGACGCUGAGUUGGGUGGAAAGUUUGGAGAACUCCCACGGCUCUGGCCUCCCCUCCCCCUCCUCCUCUCCACCGCCCGGCAAGGAGGAGAAGGCUGGUUAGCAGAGAAAUGGCAACUCAGCCGGGAGCUGGAACUAGAACCUUUCUGUCAAUGUAACAGCCGCGUGGGUGGCGACCCAAUGGUGGUUGGGCUUCGGGUCACGUGACUACUUCUUUGUAGCUCCGGAAGAGAACUGUGAAGUUUAGGUUGCAUGGAAGAAGCAGAGAAUUGCAAAGGGAAAAAAAAUCAAGAUUUGGAGGAAUUACCCACAGAGAUGGAAGUCCGAGGGUGGCUGAUUGCUCUGUUCCCUUUGAUUUCUCCAAAAGAAGCAAAGAAGAGAGAAACUGGAUAACUGCUGGACUUUUCUACCAAGAGAUUCGAAAGUGCUUCCUGAAUGAGAACAUCUUUUCCCAGGGCAAAAAAGAAAGUCAACAGAGCAAUCAGAACAAUAUUAUUCUCUGGGUUGGAAACAGGGUACCUUGUUUACUGAAGUUUUCCAAGGCAAAAAAAAAAAAAAUCAUUGUUUUAAUGCAGACUCUUCAAACUGCAGAAAAAAUAAAUCUUCAAGCUGUCAUAGGAUUUUGUGUAUUUCUUCUAAAACUUCUGACUGCAUUUUUUUUUCUCCCUGUCUUCCCGCAUCUCUCACCAUCGCAUUUCAUAAAACCUCCAGAGUGACCCUGUCUUCUGACAUGUGAGUUUGGACUACUUAAAUCUCAUUCAGCCCAGCUGGUCAACUCCAAAGAAAACUAAAAAUAGGAAAAUAAAAUAAAAG